rnacentral:rRNA from 1 species
GACGAACGCUGGCGGCGUCCUUAACACAUGCAAGUCGAGCGGUAAGGCCCUUUCGGGGGGUACACGAGCGGCGAACGGGUGAGUAACACGUGGGUGACCUGCCCUCAGCUCUGGGAUAAGCCCGGGAAACUGGGUCUAAUACCGGAUAUGACUCCACGGUGCAUGUCGUGGGGUGGAAAGCCUUGUGCGGCUAAGGAUGGGCCCGCGGCCUAUCAGCUUGUUGGUGGGGUGAUGGCCUACCAAGGCGACGACGGGUAGCCGGCCUGAGAGGGCGACCGGCCACACUGGGACUGAGACACGGCCCAGACUCCUACGGGAGGCAGCAGUGGGGAAUCUUGCGCAAUGGGCGAAAGCCUGACGCAGCGACGCCGCGUGAGGGAUGACGGCC